rnacentral:rRNA from 1 species
GUUUGAUCCUGGCUCAGAUUGAACGCUGGCGGAAUGCUUUACACAUGCAAGUCGAGCGGCAGCGCGGGGCAACCUGGCGGCGAGCGGCGAACGGGUGAGUAAUGCAUCGGAACAUGUCCAUGUCGUGGGGGAUAGCCCGGCGAAAGCCGGAUUAAUACCGCAUACGCCCGAGAGGGGAAAGUGGGGGACCGCAAGGCCUCACGCGAUUGGGUUGGCCGAUGUCCGAUUAGCUAGUUGGCGGGGUAAAGGCCCACCAAGGCGAUGAUCGGUAGCUGGUCUGAGAGGAUGAUCAGCCGCACUGGGACUGAGACACGGCCCAGACUCCUACGGGAGGCAGCAGUGGGGAAUUUUGGACAAUAGGGGCAACCCUGAUCCAGCCAUUCCGCGUGAGUGAAGAAGGCCUUCGGGUUGUAAAGCUCUUUUGUCCGGAACGAAACGGGCUACGUGAAUAUCGUGGCCUACUGACGGUACCGGAAGAAUAAGCACCGGCUAACUACGUGCCAGCAGCCGCGGUAAUACGUAGGGUGCGAGCGUUAAUCGGAAUUACUGGGCGUAAAGCGUGCGCAGGCGGUUUUGUAAGCCAGAUGUGAAAUCCCCGGGCUUAACCUGGGAAUGGCAUUUGGGACUGCAAGGCUUGAGUGCGGCAGAGGAGACUGGAAUUCCUGGUGUAGCAGUGAAAUGCGUAGAUAUCAGGAGGAAUACCGAUGGCGAAGGCAGGUCUCUGGGCUGACACUGACGCUCAUGCACGAAAGCGUGGGGAGCAAACAGGAUUAGAUACCCUGGUAGUCCACGCCCUAAACGAUGUCGACUGGUUGUUGGGGGUUUGACACUCUCAGUAACGAAGCUAACGCGUGAAGUCGACCGCCUGGGGAGUACGGCCGCAAGGUUAAAACUCAAAUGAAUUGACGG